CCUACGGGCGGCAGCAGUGGGGAAUAUUGCUCAAUGGGGGAAACCCUGAUGCAGCGACGCCGCGUGAGUGAAGAAGUAUUUCGGUACGUAAAGCUCUAUCAGCAGGGAAGAAAAUGACGGUACCUGACUAAGAAGCCCCGGCUAACUACGUGCCAGCAGCCGCGGUAAUACGUAGGGGGCAAGCGUUAUCCGGAUUUACUGGGUGUAAAGGGAGCGUAGACGGCAGCGCAAGUCUGGAGUGAAAUCCCAUGGCUUAACCAUGGAACUGCUUUGGAAACUGUGCAGCUAGAGUGCAGGAGAGGUAAGCGGAAUUCCUAGUGUAGCGGUGAAAUGCGUAGAUAUUAGGAGGAACACCAGUGGCGAAGGCGGCUUACUGGACUGUAACUGACGUUGAGGCUCGAAAGCGUGGGGAGCAAACAGGAUUAGAUACCCGAGUAGUC
rnacentral:rRNA from 1 species